rnacentral:rRNA from 1 species
CCUUUGACCACUCUAGAGAUAGAGCUUCCCCUUCGGGGGCAAAGUGACAGGUGGUGCAUGGUUGUCGUCAGCUCGUGUCGUGAGAUGUUGGGUUAAGUCCCGCAACGAGCGCAACCCUUAUUGUUAGUUGCCAUCAUUCAGUUGGGCACUCUAGCAAGACUGCCGGUGACAAACCGGAGGAAGGUGGGGAUGACGUCAAAUCAUCAUGCCCCUUAUGACCUGGGCUACACACGUGCUACAAUGGGAAGUACAACGAGUYGCGAAGUCGCGAGGCUAAGCUAAUCUCUUAAAGCUUCUCUCAGUUCGGAUUGCAGGCUGCAACUCGCCUGCAUGAAGCCGGAAUCGCUAGUAAUCGCGGAUCAGCACGCCGCGGUGAAUACGUUCCCGGGCCUUGUACACACCGCCCGUCACACCACGAGAGUUUGUAACACCCGAAGUCGGUGAGGUAACCUUUUUGGAGCCAGCCGCCUAAGGUGGGAUAGAUGAUUGGGGUGAAGUCGUAACAAGGUAGCCGUAUCGGAAGGUGCGGCUGGAUCACCUCCUUUCUAAGGAA